GGAACAGGAGGUCAUGGAGGGUGAGAACCCCGUAUGUGGCUUGGGUGCCGGGGUCCUUGUGACGUAUCCUCUAAGAGUCGGGUUGUUUGGGAAUGCAGCUCAAAAUGGGUGGUAAAUUUCAUCUAAAGCUAAAUAUUGGUGAGAGACCGAUAGCAGACAAGUAGAAUGAUCGAAAGAUGAAAAGUACUUUGAAAAGAGAGUGAAACAGUACGUGGAAUUGUUGAAAGGGAAGCGUUUGGCAUCAGCCCAUGGCGGCGGUCGAACAUCUGGGCUUUUGUUUUGUGCACUCGGCAGUCGCCGGGCCAGCGUCGGUUCCACCUGUUGGAGAAAGGCCUUGGGGAAGUGGCACUCCCUUGUGGAGUGUGUUAUAACCCAUGGCGUCAUGCGGCUUGGUGGGACCGAGGUCCGCGGUUUUGUCCUAGGACGCUGGCGUAAUGGUUCCAAGCGACCCGUCUUGAAACACGGACCAAGGAGUCUAACAUCUAUGCGAGUGUUUGGGUGUCAAGCCCGGCCGCGCAAUGAAAGUGAAUGUAGGCGGGAGCCCCUCCGGGGGUGCAUCGCCGA
rnacentral:rRNA from 1 species